CCAAGCCCAAUCCUAAACUCUAGAGGUUAGCUGGUUACUGGUUAGUGGAUAGGGCAUUAGCAUUUAGCAAUUUAGAUUACAGUACAGUUGAGCGGCGAUUUGGCAAUUUCCGACUUCCUGGCGAUUUCCGACUUCCGAGCUCCGACUUCUCACUCCUCAGUCCUCACUCCUCACAAAUUCCGGGCAAACGAAGAUGUUGUUGUUGCGAACUUGCGAUAGUUUCAAUUUUCAAAGGUAUGUUUCUACUUUCUAGCGAUGGAAAUGAAUUUGAUGAAGAUUUCUAGCGAUGUUCUUUAGCGAAGAUUAAUUUUAUAUUCGAAACUCAUUUUUUUAUUAAGUGUUUGAUUAGGUAUAAAGUAGGUUGACAUAUGAGAAUCCUAUAAGGUAUAGUAGUAGAACAGGGAAUGAAGAUAGUAGUUUCGUGAAAUUUCUUUAGCAGUAAGCGUUGGCAGUUGUGUAUAGAUAUUGAUUGAAGUAACUGAUACAGGAAAAUGAUUCUGUAACCUAAUUUAUGUAGCCCGUUGCACAAACUGUAGUAAUUGUAUCUUACUAGAGCUAACUGGAUAGAAACUGUACUAAUUUCGGUUGUUGUUGCUCUCUGUUCUUUAGUAAUGGACAUAGUACUCUGAUUAAUUUUGGAUAGAUCAUAUUGUAAUUUGUAUUUGACAGCAUAAAGAUAAAUGAAGAUGAUUACAAAAAGAUUUUGUUUUCUCUUUCUAUUUUGUUAAAAUCUUCUUUAGACUUGGUGGAAUCUUCAACUUUAUUUAGACUGAUAUAUGACUAUAUUUUAAUCGGCGGGCUAAUGGACUCGAUAUUGUGUUAUUGUUAGCAUCUUUUAAAAGAACUGCUAGUGUUACUGUUAGCAUCUUUUAGCUGCUGCAAGACCUCAAACUUGUUGAAUGUUGUGUAUUUGUGUUUAUGGUUUGGCUGUUCAGGUGUUCUUGGCAUUGGCAGUGUGUAAAUAUAAUUGGCACAGUGCAAUUGGUUGUUCAGGUGUUCCUGAUGUUGCUGCUGCAUCUUAGUUACAAUUGCAACUUGGCAGUAUGUAAAUGUUUGGUUGUUCAGGUGUUCUGCAGAUGGUUUGGCUGUUCAGGUGUUCUGCAGAUGCUUGUUACAUGUUGUGCAGGUGUUCUGAAUGCUAGUCAUCUCUUUUAAAGAAUGACAAGAAUAAUUCUGGUUUUUCUUGUUUGGCUACAGAUCUAUUAGCUUGGCUGCAGAUGAUUGUUACAUGUCCUGAAGCCUUAAGUCUAAUUAUGUUGUGUGNNNNNNNNNNNNNNNNUAAUUACAAUUAGGCUAUACAUCAUUUAGGUGUAAGGUUCAAAUUUCACCAAGGGUUUUUCUCUUUGUCUAUACAACAACAACCCAGUAUAAUCUCACUUAGUAGAGAGACUAUUUCCAAAUAAAAACUCGACAUAUUUCUCUCAAAGAACUUCCCACCUUGCUUUUGGGGAGACUCGAACUCAC
rnacentral:lncRNA from 1 species